AGCGAACGCUGGCGGCAGGCCUAACACAUGCAAGUCGAACGGAUCCUUCGGGAUUAGUGGCGGACGGGUGAGUAACACGUGGGAACGUGCCUUUUGGUUCGGAACAACUCAGGGAAACUUGAGCUAAUACCGGAUGUGCCCUUAGGGGGAAAGAUUUAUCGCCAUUAGAGCGGCCCGCGUCUGAUUAGCUAGUUGGUGAGGUAAAGGCUCACCAAGGCGACGAUCAGUAGCUGGUCUGAGAGGAUGAUCAGCCACAUUGGGACUGGGACACGGCCCAAACUCCUACGGGAGGCAGCAGUGGGGAAUCUUGCGCAAUGGGCGAAAGCCUGACGCAGCCAUGCCGCGUGAAUGAUGAAGGUCUUAGGAUUGUAAAAUUCUUUCACCGGGGACGAUAAUGACGGUACCCGGAGAAGAAGCCCCGGCUAACUUCGUGCCAGCCGCCGCCGUAACAC
rnacentral:rRNA from 1 species